rnacentral:lncRNA from 1 species
UCCUCUGCACCAAGUGACUUAAACUUUCAAACUCCUGAGAGGCAUACUUAUCCCUGAUGUGCGGCAACAAACCCUGGAAAGCCAAAUCGGCUAGCUGCCGAUCAUCCAGAACCAGGCUAUAGCAUUUAUUUUUGACCUCUCGUAUCCUCUGCACAAAUCCCUCAACCGACUCAUCAUUACGUUGCCUCAGCUUGACCAAGUCGGUGAUUUUCUUCUCAUGAACCCCCGAGAAGAAGUAUUUGUGGAAUUGCUUCUCCAGAUCGGCCCAAGUAAUCACUGAAUUGGGAGGCAAUG